UGGUACACGUGCCAGAGUAAUUUUAAAUCUCGUUUCAGGAUGACAUCGUUGAAUCAUCGCUCACACGGAAGGAAGCUCCGAAUCAUGCUAAAAACAAGCUGGCAACUGGUACGUAGGAUGAUAUAUGUUUUGGAUUGCUAUCUCGAAGAGAAGACUCGAUAAAUUUUCUUCAGCGUCCUAACCAAAUAUCGUGUUCAUCGCUUCGACGACUUCCCGCGGUAGACGUGGACGUCGCGCGGAGGAGUCGCAACGCGGAAGCCUCGUCUAGCGUUCUAAGCUCGCUAAUAACCUGGCGGCGGGUCAUUAUUCUAGAGAAGGAGGUAACGGAGGCGGCGGUCGCACGCACAGUUUCCCACUCAAAAUGAAAAACCCGAACGCGACCCGUCGUAGAGGGGGCAACGGUGAUGCAUGCACCGAAUACUUUCAGUGUCGGACGCCGACGAAUCGUGGUGGGGAAACUCGUGUCUGACGCCACUACGCACAUCUCUACCCCAAGCUUAGUCUAGCCUUAAUAGUCAUCCACUGGAAGCCGGAGACGAUGAAGCUGGCCAGAACGAAACGUCUUUCUCUGGAUCUUAUUCUGCUACGGCAAUCUCCGUUUCCACGCUUCGUCAAUUUCUCUUGGCAGGGACAUCGAGUGACAUUUAAGUGAUAUUCAAGUGAUAUUUAAGCGGUGCUUCGAAUGGUACGCGUAACGGUGAGAUUUUCUGACCAGUUUCGUGAUUAAUUGCUGAUCAACGUGGUGUUUGACAGUUGGCUGCCUUCGAUCGGACUGCAUCGCUUUGUUUGCGACCAUGUCGAAUGCUAGUUCGAUCGAAGUGCAGCCGCGAUUGAACUGGACACGUCUGAUCUUUUAUCCAAGUUGAACGUCGCGAAGGUAGUGUGAUAUAUAUAUAUUUUUUUAAAUAAAUUCUCGGUGAGCGUUGGUGCGAAAAUUUGAAUAAAAUUCGUGUGGUUGAUUAUACAAUCUUUGUGGUGCUUGAUCGAAGUGACAGACUCGUCGGUGGAAAUAUAUAGAGUUUUUUCGCUUUUCUUCGGUGGUUGUUACAGUGAAUUGUUGAUAUAUUCUUUUUCUGUUCAGUUUGAUUUAUUAUCGAACGUAAUUAAUCAUUUAUUCGGUAUAAAUAUGAGUUUCGUUUCUAUUGUUGGACGAUUACAAAUACAUUUCUUGCGAGUUUUAGUGAUUCAUAUAUUUUUUUCGAGACACGAGACUCACGUACCAUGUUCGUACGAGAUAACGAUCAGUAUGAUUCUUCUUUUCUUUUUUAGCGGUGAUGAUUCACCUGUGGUGAACAAGACAAAGCGUUGUUUAUCGUGGCGAGUCUCGUUUCUCGGAUACAUGUGAGAACGGAUACAGUGAUACACACUAGGAUCUAAUGGAUGACACACAAAAUUUAUUCGAUGAAUCACGGACGAUUGGAGUGGUCAUGUACAAAAAUAAAAAUAAAAUCAACGUUUAGCGAGA